rnacentral:rRNA from 1 species
UACGAAGGGGACUAGCGUUGUUCGGAAUCACUGGGCGUAAAGCGCACGUAGGCGGAUUCGUAAGUCAGGGGUGAAAUCCCGGGGCUCAACCUCGGAACUGCCUUUGAUACUGAAGAUCUUGAGUUCGGGAGAGGUGAGUGGAACUGCGAGUGUAGAGGUGAAAUUCGUAGAUAUUCGCAAGAACACCAGUGGCGAAGGCGGCUCACUGGCCCGAUACUGACGCUGAGGCACGAAAGCGUGGGGAGCAAACAGG